GGAUGAACGCUGGCGGUAUGCUUAACACAUGCAAGUCGAACGGAGUACUUCGGUACUUAGUGGCGGACGGGUGAGUAACGCGUGAGAAUCUGCCUUCAGGUUCGGGACAACCACUGGAAACGGUGGCUAAUACCGAAUGUGCAGCAAUGUGAAAUAUUUAUAGCCUGGAGAUGAGCUCGCGUCUGAUUAGCUAGUAGGUGUGGUAAUAGCGCACCUAGGCGACGAUCAGUAGCUGGUCUGAGAGGAUGAUCAGCCACACUGGGACUGAGACACGGCCCAGACUCCUACGGGAGGCAGCAGUGGGGAAUUUUCCGCAAUGGGCGAAAGCCUGACGGAGCAAUACCGCGUGAGGGAGGAAGGCUCUUGGGUUGUAAACCUCUUUUCUCAGGGAAGAAAAAAAUGACGGUACCUGAGGAAUAAGCAUCGGCUAACUCCGUGCCAGCAGCCGCGGUAAUACGGAGGAUGCAAGCGUUAUCCGGAAUGAUUGGGCGUAAAGCGUCCGCAGGUGGCUAUGUAAGUCUGCUGUUAAAGAAUCUGGCUCAACCAGAUAAAGGCAGUGGAAACUACAUGGCUAGAGUGCGUUCGGGGCAGAGGGAAUUCCUGGUGUAGCGGUGAAAUGCGUAGAGAUCAGGAAGAACACCGGUGGCGAAAGCGCUCUGCUAGGCCGCAACUGACACUGAGGGACGAAAGCUAGGGGAGCGAAUGGGAUUAGAUACCCCAGUAGUCCUAGCCGUAAACGAUGGAUACUAGGCGUGGCUUGUAUCGACCCGAGCCGUGCCGUAGCUAACGCGUUAAGUAUCCCGCCUGGGGAGUACGCAGGCAACUGUGAAACUCAAAGGAAUUGACGGGGGCCCGCACAAGCGGUGGAGUAUGUGGUUUAAUUCGAUGCAACGCGAAGAACCUUACCAGGACUUGACAUGUCGCGAAUUGAAGUGAAAGCUUCAAGUGCCUUCGGGAGCGCGAACACAGGUGGUGCAUGGCUGUCGUCAGCUCGUGUCGUGAGAUGUUGGGUUAAGUCCCGCAACGAGCGCAACCCUCGUUUUUAGUUGCCAGCAUUAAGUUGGGCACUCUAGAGAGACUGCCGGUGACAAACCGGAGGAAGGUGGGGAUGACGUCAAGUCAGCAUGCCCCUUACGUUCUGGGCUACACACGUACUACAAUGCUACGGACAAAGGGCAGCUACACAGCGAUGUGAUGCUAAUCUCAUAAACCGUGGCUCAGUUCAGAUCGCAGGCUGCAACUCGCCUGCGUGAAGGAGGAAUCGCUAGUAAUUGCAGGUCAGCAUACUGCAGUGAAUUCGUUCCCGGGCCUUGUACACACCGCCCGUCACACCAUGGAAGCUGGUAGUGCCCGAAGUCAUUACCCCAACCGCUUGCGGAGGGGGAUGCCUAAGGCAGGACUGGUGACUGGGGUGAAGUCGUAACAAGGUAGCCGUACCGGAAGGUGUGGCUGGAUCACCUCCUUUAAAGGAGACCUACCCGCUCAGAUAUUGAAAACAAUUUGUGAUUAGAUAUUGAGUUGGUCAUCCUAAAGGUCGGUCGCGACAGUUGUUAAUUGCUUUCAAACUAUAUUUUGGUUCGUAUGGGCUAUUAGCUCAGGUGGUUAGAGCGCACCCCUGAUAAGGGUGAGGUCCCUGGUUCGAGUCCAGGAUGGCCCACCUGAAAAAGUAUGAAGUAUAAAGUCAGAAGUAUGAAGUAAAAAUAUUGUUUCAUGCUUCAUGCCUUACCCUUUAUGCCUUUUAUUUGGGGGUUUAGCUCAGUUGGUAGAGCGCCUGCUUUGCAAGCAGGAUGUCAGCGGUUCGAGUCCGCUAACCUCCACCAGUAAAGUGUAAGUGUGAAAAAAUUCAGCAACUGAGCAAUACUUGCCAGACUGCUGGAUAAAUUUCCAGCUAUUGAACCUUGAAAACUGCAUAGUGAUAGCGAAUAAGCAGGCAGACACAGACAUUGUGUUUGCAUUGAUUGAUAACCAAUUGUUGAAGUGGUCAAGCUAAUAAGGGCUAACGGUGGAUACCUAGGCACGCAGAGGCGAUGAAGGACGUGGUUACCGACGAUAUGCUCCGGGGAGUUGGAAGCAAACAUAGAGCCGGAGAUUUCCGAAUGGGGCAACCCUAUAUACUACCUGUUGAAUAUAUAGACAGGAGAGAGCCAACCCAGCGAACUGAAACAUCUUAGUAGCUGGAGGAAGAGAAAUCAAUAGAGAUUCCCUAAGUAGUGGUGAGCGAACGGGGAAGAGCCUAAACCAGUCGGAUUUCCGAUUGGGGUAGUGGGACAGCAAUAUCGAAUCCAAAGGUUAGACGAAGCAGCGAAAUACUGCACCAGAGAAGGUGAAAGUCCUGUAAUUGAAAACUGUAUGGAUAGUAGCUGUAUCCCGAGUAGCAUGGGGCACGAGGAAUCCCAUGUGAAUCAGCGAGGACCAUCUCGUAAGGCUAAAUACUACUGUGUGACCGAUAGUGAACCAGUACCGCGAGGGAAAGGUGAAAAGAACCCCUAACAGGGGAGUGAAAUAGAACAUGAAACCGU
rnacentral:rRNA from 1 species